CCAGGACGCCAGUUUUGGCGGAGCCAUCCUUGGGAUACCACCCUUGUAGUACUGGGACUCUAACCAUAGGCCAUGAAUCUGGUCUUGGGACACUGUCAGGGGGGCAGUUUGACUGGGGCGGUCGCCUCCCAAAAGGUAACGGAGGCGCUCAAAGGUUCUCUCAGUACGGUCGGAAAUCGUACGUAGAGUGUAAAGGCAAAAGAGAG
rnacentral:rRNA from 1 species